UAGGGAAUCUUCCGCAAUGGGCGAAAGCCUGACGGAGCGACGCCGCGUGAGCGAGGAAGGCCUUCGGGCGUAAAGCUCUGUUGUCAGGGAAGAAGGCGCGCCGUUCGAAGAGGGCGGCGCGGUGACGGUACCUGACGAGGAAGCCCCGGCUAACUACGUGCCAGCAGCCGCGGUAAAACGUAGGGGGCGAGCGUUGUCCGGAAUUACUGGGCGUAAAGCGCGCGCAGGCGGUCCUUUAAGUCUGAUGUGAAAUUCCGCGGCUCAACCGCGGGUGUGCAUUGGAAACUGGGGGACUUGAGUGCGGAAGAGGGGGAGCGGAAUUCCCGGUGUAGCGGUGAAAUGCGUAGAGAUCGGGAGGAACACCAGUGGCGAAGGCGGCUCUCUGGUCCGCAACUGACGCUGAGGCGCGAAAGCGUGGGGAGCGAACAGGAUUAGAUACCCUGGUAGUCCACGCCGUAAACGAGAGUGCUAAGUGUUAGAGGGGAUUGACCCUUUAGUGCGCAGCUAACGCAUUAAGCACUCCGCCUGGGGAGU
rnacentral:rRNA from 1 species